rnacentral:rRNA from 1 species
UACGUAGGGACCGAGCGUUGUCCGGAAUCAUUGGGCGUAAAGAGCGUGUAGGCGGCCAACUAAGUCCUGCGUGAAAUCUCGGGGCUCAACCCCGAGCGGUCGUGGGAAACUGGUUGGCUAGAGUGCGGGAGAGGAGAGUGGAAUUCCUGGUGUAGCGGUGAAAUGCGCAGAUAUCAGGAAGAACACCCGUGGCGAAGGCGGCUCUCUGGGACGGUACUGACGCUGAGACGCGAAAGCGUGGGGAGCAAACAGG